rnacentral:rRNA from 1 species
GAUGAACGCUAGCGGCAGGCCUAACACAUGCAAGUCGAGGGAGAAGCCCUUUCGGGGGCCGAAACCGGCGCACGGGUGCGUAACGCGUAUGCAACCUACCUUUCACAGGGGGAUAGCCCGAAGAAAUUUGGAUUAAUACCCCAUAAUAUUAUUGGAUGGCAUCAUUUGAUAAUUAAAACUGCGGUGGUGAAAGAUGGGCAUGCGUCCUAUUAGCUAGUUGGAGUGGUAACGGCACCCCAAGGCUACGAUAGGUAGGGGUCCUGAGAGGGAGAUCCCCCACACUGGUACUGAGACAGGGACCAGACUCCUACGGGAGGCAGCAGUGAGGAAUAUUGAUCAAUGGUCGGAAGACUGAACCAGCCAUGCCGCGUGCAGGAAGAAUGCCUUAUGGGUUGUAAACUGCUUUUAUAUGGGAAGAAUAAGGCGUACGUGUACGUUGAUGACGGUACCAUAUGAAUAAGCAUCGGCUAACUCCGUG